rnacentral:rRNA from 1 species
GCCCUCGGGUUUGGGGCAACUACCGGAAACGGUUACUGAUACCGAACUGUUGUUUUCUUCGCCUGAAGGAAACUGGAAAGACGGAUGAAUCUGUCUUUGGGGAUGGGCCUGGGGGGCAUUAUAUUGGUGGAGGGGUAACGGCUCACCAAGGCGACCAGAGAGGCCGACCUGAGAGGGGGAUACUGCCACCUGGGACUGAUACUACGGCCAGGACUCCUACGGGAAUAUUGCACAAGGAAUCUUCCCCUGGGGCGAAACCCUGACGUGAGCAAUGCCGCGUGAGUGAUGAAGGUUUUCGGAUCGUAAAGCUCUGUUGCCAGGGAAGAACCCUGGGGAAAGUAACUGCUCUCAAGGUGACGCCUACCUGAGAAGAAAUACCCGGGUAACUACGU